rnacentral:tRNA from 1 species
GUGGGAUAGUUUAGUCAGUAGUCCCGCAGGAAAUCCCAGAGAAUGAGGAACAUUCACCUUGCCAAGGUGAAUGUCGUGAGUUCGAAUCUCAUCGCCCGCUCCA